UACGUAGGCAGCAAGCGUUGUUCGGAGUUACUGGGCGUAAAGGGUGCGUAGGCGGUCCUUUAAGUUUGGUGUGAAAUCUCCCGGCUUAACUGGGAGGGUGCGCCGGAUACUGAGGGACUAGAGUGCGGGAGGGGAGAGUAGAAUUCCUGGUGUAGCGGUGAAAUGCGUAGAUAUCAGGAGGAAUACCGGUGGUGUAAACGGCUCUCUGGACCGUAACUGACGCUGAGGCACGAAAGCGUGGGUAGCAAACAGGAUUAGAUACCCUGGUAGUCCACGCCCUAAACGAUGCAUGCUUGGUGCGGGUGAUUCAGUUCAUCUGUGCCGGAGCUAACGCGUUAAGCAUGCCGCCUGGGGAGUACAGUCGCAAGGCUGAA
rnacentral:rRNA from 1 species